GUGAGGAAUAUUGGUCAAUGGACGAGAGUCUGAACCAGCCAAGUCGCGUGAAGGAAGACGGUUCUAUGAAUUGUAAACUUCUUUUGUGCAGGAAUAAAGUGGGUUACGUGUAACCUUUUGUAUGUACUGUACGAAUAAGGAUCGGCUAACUCCGUGCCAGCAGCCGCGGUAAUACGGAGGAUCCGAGCGUUAUCCGGAUUUAUUGGGUUUAAAGGGUGCGUAGGUGGAUUGAUAAGUCAGCGGUGAAAGUUUGCAGCUUAACUGUAAAAUUGCCGUUGAAACUGUCGGUCUUGAGUGCAAAUGAGGUAGGCGGAAUGUGUAGUGUAGCGGUGAAAUGCUUAGAUAUAACACAGAACUCCGAUUGCGAAGGCAGCUUACUGGGAUGCAACUGACACUGAUGCACGAAAGCGUGGGUAUCAAACAGGAUUAGAUACCCGAGUAGUCC
rnacentral:rRNA from 1 species